UUCAAAUUGUUUAACUAAUCAAUUAAAGUUGUUUUUGAACGUUAAUGAUUAAGAAACUGGAUUGAAUGCCACCUUGAACGUCAAAAUCGGUUCAUUAUUAUAACCGGGCAGCGUUGGUAUACGACAUGAGAGUGCGGCUCUCUCGCUGUCUCUGUCUGAAUUUGGUCUUUUUCUGUCUCUCAUAUUACAGCCUGAUUGCUAAGUUUGGCUGGGUUAAGCGCUAGACCACAGGGGAUGAUUUCGCGCAGCAGGUGACCGUAAGUCGGUCAUGUGCGCAUAAUUAGGUAGGGGUCAUCGGAGGUUGGGACCUGAGACGUCUCGAUCAGGAUCGACAUUCAAGUCCAAGCUAUCGACUCGACAUUUAAGUGCAGGCAAUCGAUUCAAGUGCAGGCGAUCGAUUCAAACGACACUCAAGUCAAAGUGCUGAUACAUACAGCCUCGUUACUCGUUGCUCGAUUGUGAAAACUGUAAAAAUUCUAAAUUAUUUUGCUCUCUCUAUAAACUGGUUUAUAAAACCAAAUUUUGUUAAGUUGAUUAUCUAAGUGAUUUGUGUGAGAGUAUCCAGCACCAAGUCCAACAUCAACAGCCAGGAUCCGGAAGAGAAGGUCCAACAUGCAGCGGCGUCCAAUACCAUCAAUAUAUAAGAUGCUAUGAACGUCGAGCUCACGGUUGUCCUGCUCGGGGAAAAAUAACAAAUGAUGAACUUGAUUUAUCGAUCGUUCAUAACCAUGUAAGAAAUCCUCAGUUGCAGAAAUAUUGCAUCUUUCAAGAUGCAUUGUUUAUUGCGGCAACGGCACGCCCUUAUAGAUCCCUGAAAGUUAUAUUUGACCAUUUGAGUGUGCAAAAUCAUGAAGCAGCGUCACAAUUCACAUGGCGGAAAAUGCAGCCGCUUAUGGAAAGUUGGCGCCGCAGUGACCGACCACCUCGUCCACCGAUUCCAAGCAAUCUACAACAGUUUGCCGAUUUUUUAAACAUGCCACAGUGGGCCUAUAAUUAACUUUACUAUGAAUAAUUUUUAGUUUUAAAUA